UACAUGAAUAAAUAUUUUUUAAAAAGUCUUAAAUUCAUAAUUAAAUGUGUGUUACAUGAAUAAAAAAUUAACAAUUAGUCUUAAAUUCAUAAUUAAAUGUGUUACAUGAAUAAAAAAUUAACAAUUAGUCUUAAAUUCAUAAUUAAAUGUGUUACAUGAAUAAAUAUUUUUUUAAUUAGACUUAAAUAUAUAAAAUUAAUGAUUACAUGAAUAAAUAUUUUUUUUAAUAAGACUUAAAUAUAUAAAAUUAAUGAUUACAUGAAUAAAUAUUUUUUUAAUAAGACUUAAAUAUAUAAAAUUAAUGAUUACAUGAAUAAAUAUUUUUUUAAUAAGACUUAAAUAUAUAAUUAAUUGUUACAUGAACGAAUAUGUGCAGUUAUACAAAUAAACAUAACGCUAAAUAAUAUUAAUAAUGAUAUAUUCAAGAUUAAAUAACGAUAUGGCGGAGGAAUAAUGACAAGACAAAUAAGUAAUAGUAUAUAUUAGUAUAUAUAUGUGUGAAGAUGGAUAACGAAAUAUUGAAGAAGGUUGGAUUUAUUGAAGAAAUGAAAAUCUAUGAAGAAAUAUAUUUGUGUAUUAACCUUGGAAUAUAAUAUA